AAAGUGCGAGAGCCAGAGGAGUUCCUCUGCUCGCCGUCGUCCGCGAUAUUCACCGUGUCUCGCUCACGUCCCGGCGAUCGCCGGCGGCCAGGGGUGUAACAGGUGGUAUCAGAGACACUCAAUCCUCCUCCCUUCCCUACCCACCCAACUCGUUCUCGCUUCGCGUCGGCUGCAGCGGCCGUUGCAAUCGAGCGAGACCCACACGAGUUCGGUCCACCAAUUCCUGCCGGAUCGAUUCGAUCCUCCAGCUACGAGAAGCGCACGGCGGCGGCGUGACGGGACUCACCCACAGCAAUACUGGCGGGUUGGCGCACGGCGGCGGCGCGACGGGAUCCAGACGUGGCGCAUCUCGGCGCGCAUCUGGCGGCGACGCACUCGGCUUCGACUGGGGUUCGGCAUCGAGCAGUCACGGUUCGGCGGCGGGAACCACGUUAAUAUUUCGUGAAGCUGUUGCUUUUGUGUUCUUUGAUCGACAAGCAUCUACCAGUUGGUGAGGCACCUACCACCUGGGAGCAAUUGGCCUACACUGAGCUGAAAGGAAAGGAAGCAGAUGUAUUUUCAUUUAUUUUGUAAAGCAAGCGUCACAUUUUCAUUGUUCUCGUAGAUACUAUAUGUAACACUUACAAUUUAAUAGAUUGUUAUGUAUUUUGAUCGUGAGAACUUACUGUGAAGUGUGAAAUCUAUGUA